UACGUAGGGGGCGAGCGUUGUCCGGAUUUAUUGGGCGUAAAGAGCUCGUAGGCGGCUGUUCGAGUCGGGUGUGAAAUCCUGAGGCUUAACCUUGGGUCUGCAUUCGAUACUGGGCGGCUUGAGUCUGGUAGGGGGAUCUGGAAUUCCUGGUGUAGCGGUGGAAUGCGCAGAUAUCAGGAGGAACACCGGUGGCGAAGGCGGGAUCCUGGGCCAGUACUGACGCUGAGACGCGAAAGCGUGGGGAGCGAACAGG
rnacentral:rRNA from 1 species